rnacentral:rRNA from 1 species
GACGAACGCUGGCGGCGUGCCUAAUACAUGCAAGUUGAGCGCUGAAGGUUGGUACUUGUACCAACUGGAUGAGCAGCGAACGGGUGAGUAACGCGUGGGGAAUCUGCCUUUGAGCGGGGGACAACAUUUGGAAACGAAUGCUAAUACCGCAUAAAAACUUUAAACACAAGUUUUAAGUUUGAAAGAUGCAAUUGCAUCACUCAAAGAUGAUCCCGCGUUGUAUUAGCUAGUUGGUGAGGUAAAGGCUCACCAAGGCGAUGAUACAUAGCCGACCUGAGAGGGGGAUCGGCCACAUUGGGACUGAGACACGGCCCAAACUCCUACGGGAGGCAGCAGUAGGGAAUCUUCGGCAAUGGACGAAAGUCUGACCGAGCAACGCCGCGUGAGUGAAGAAGGUUUUCGGAUCGUAAAACUCGGUUGGUAGAGAAGAACGUUGGUGAGAGUGGAAAGCUCAUCAAGUGACGGUAACUACCCAGAAAGGGACGGCUAACUACGUG